CGCCAUCAUGUGGCAAUAUUGGGAACUACGGUGAGCCAUUCAUAGAGGGCUACACGGCUAAACCAUAGGCCUCUAGGCCUGUGCCAAAGUGUGCUGGUGCCUCAACAUACUACCACUCCCAGGAUCCUAUAGCAGUUGAAGUGGUGUCAAACUGCAUUAAUUCUACAGUGUAGAUGCAGUUUCAAUCAAGGAAACCAACAGGAAGACAUGAGGAAGUCACCCUUUGUAAAGGAGCUCAGUGGCAAACCUGACCCUUAGACCUGAUGUGUUAGACCUGAGGGACUGGGCCCCUCUUCUUAUGAGCUGGUCAUUGAACACAAUAAAAUGAACUUGGACUUGAACUUGAACAGUGGCAAACUACUUCCAAAUCUUGCCAAGAAAACCCUAGGAGAUUGCUGUGAGUUUUCUGGGCUGUAUGGCCAUGUUCCAGGGGCAUUUCCUCCUGACGUUUCGCCUGCACUUAUAACAAGCAUCGUCAGAGAUUGUGAGAUCUGUUGGAAACUAGAUGUUAAAUUCCACCACCCAGCUUGAGAGCAAUACACCAUAGAGGUAAUUAUGAAGUCAACCAAAGAUAGUUUCAAGAUUCAAACCAGCUUUGUCUUGCUUUGUGUCGAAUGCACUUGCUUUUCUGUGGAGUGUCAUCUGAACUCCCCACUUGAAGAGGCUGAGUCAACACCUUGGUAAACACACUAAAUCAAUGGGUCUGCUUUAACUAGGAGAAACAACAGGAUUCAAGACUCCGAGUUAUGUCUGUAGCUAUUUGAAGAAAAGUGCUCAAAUGAAAGAGGACAAGAUGUUUCAGAGUGAAAAUGUGGACACAGAACCAAAGCAGCCUUGCUGCUCUGAAAAUAGUUUAUUACAUUUGAGGGUUUUUGCACUUCAAGUUUAUUUCAGAAGGUUAAUGGGGUUCAGGAGGAAAGUGCAACCUCGGAUGGGAAAUUGUGCAGGCAGGAGGUAUGUCCCUCUGUGUGGAAAGGUUUCAGUUUAGAACUUGUGGCUCUUUUAUGUAAAACUUUGCAUUUCUCUUCUGGAGCAUUUCAGAUUCUCAGAAAGUUUACUUUUUUGGAAUAUGGGUCCCCAAAUCCUCUAAUCAACCUGGACACUGAUGACAGUGGCUGCAAGAUAUAGGCAUAAUAGCCCACAAAAGUUAUUCUGACUCUUCUUGGCAUCUUUUAAUUUUCAGGAUGGAUCAUUUUAGCUAAAUAAACCAUAUUCAAUUUUA